rnacentral:lncRNA from 1 species
GUGAAAACACUGAGGGCAGAGCCUAAAGCUAAUGAUCAGUAUUUGCCCCCAUUUGUGAUAGUUGAUGACAGCGGCAAAGCUGUUGGGCCUGUAUUGGAUGGUGAUGCAGUUGUCACUAUCAACUUCCGUGCUGAUCGCAUGGUUAUGCUUGCAAAAGCACUUGAGUAUGCAGAUUUUGACAAAUUUGAUCGUGUCCGUGUCCCAAAAAUCCGGUAUGCUGGGAUGCUUCAGUAUGAUGGUGAGUUGAAGCUUCCAAACCGUUACCUUGUUUCUCCACCAGAGAUAGAGAGGACAUCUGGUGAAUACUUGGUGAAGAAUGGUAUCCGCACCUUUGCUUGCAGGCAAGUACCACCUGUUUGUCAAUCUUUCUCUUGAUAUUAAACUACUUUUUGUGAACUUUGAUUUUGAAUCAUUCUUUUUUCAGAGUUAUCUCUGUUGUACAAAUACUUGUUUAUAGCUUUUGACAGCAUUCAUUGCAACCUAUUUUAUAAUGAGGGUUCAUUGCAACCCAUUGCCUUCUACUACAUUUUAUCCCUCUAUCUUCUGCCCUUUCGAGUUUCUUCUUGUAAAGUUGCAUGCUCAAUCUCUGAUCAAGCUUUAAAAUAUUGAAUGACAAUUUGUCUAAAAUGGAGGCAUGAUAUGCAAGAAACUAUGUGUGUGGUCCCUUAGAGGCAGUGUUCACCUAAACGCUAGCCAAUUAUCAGGCUAAAUGUCUGUUUAAAUAGGAAUGGCUAGCCACUCUGGCAUUUUAACAGGCUAAACGGACAUUUAAGCAAGUUAGUCAGUCUUUGUUAUCUUGGGGCAGAUAGCUGCUUAUUUGUUUGACAUUUAUAGGAUGAUGAUAUUCAAAUUAUUUAUACAAAGAUCGUAGUUUGGUGUUCUUGUGCUAAGUUUGGCCUCCUAAACUGUUAAUCUUCUGUAUUAGAGCUGCAUAAUGCUAUUUUUGGUUUGGUUUGAGUUUAAUAUUGCUCUCGUUCUUACAAGAGUACAUUUUAAUAUUCUUUUGCUUAUCUGGUAACAUUGAUUUGUGUGUAACAGUGAGACAGUGAAGUUCGGUCAUGUCACAUUUUUCUGGAACGGUAACCGUUCAGGAUACUUUGAUGAAACUAAGGAAGAGUAUGUAGAAAUUCCUAGUGACAGCGGUAUUACAUUCAAUGUUGCACCCAAGAUGAAGGCGCUUGAAAUCGCAGAGAAAGCCAGGGAUGCUCUCCUUAGUGGAAAGUUUGACCAGGUAAAUGAUUCUGAAAUUAGUAAUGGACAAGUCUUCCAAUUUCCCCAUUGCUUAGUGUAUUGCUGUUACAGGUACGUGUCAACCUGCCAAAUGGUGACAUGGUGGGUCACACUGGUGAUAUUGAGGCCACUGUUGUUGCUUGCAAGGCAGCUGAUGAAGCUGUUAAGGUGAGAACGAUCAUUUAAUGUUUACUUACAUGCUGUCUUUAUGUCCUCAUUAUCAUGUGCGUGCAUUGCACAGUUCACCUUAUUUAUAUUGCACGUUUUAUUCGCCUUUGCCUAGUUUAACCACUGUUCUUUUUAACAGAUGAUUUUGGAUGCUGUGGAGCAAGUUGGUGGUAUUUACCUUGUCACUGCUGAUCAUGGAAAUGCAGAGGACAUGGUGAAAAGGAACAAAGCUGGCAAGCCGCUGCUCGACAAGAGUGGUGGUAUCCAAAUUCUCACC